rnacentral:rRNA from 1 species
GAUGAACGCUGGCGGCGUGCCUAAUACAUGCAAGUCGAGCGAACAGACGAGGAGCUUGCUCCUCUGACGUUAGCGGCGGACGGGUGAGUAACACGUGGAUAACCUACCUAUAAGACUGGGAUAACUUCGGGAAACCGGAGCUAAUACCGGAUAAUAUAUUGAACCGCAUGGUUCAAUAGUGAAAGACGGUUUUGCUGUCACUUAUAGAUGGAUCCGCGCCGCAUUAGCUAGUUGGUAAGGUAACGGCUUACCAAGGCAACGAUGCGUAGCCGACCUGAGAGGGUGAUCGGCCACACUGGAACUGAGACACGGUCCAGACUACUACGGGAGGCAGCAGUAGGGAAUCUUCCGCAAUGGGCGAAAGCCUGACGCAGCAACGCCGCGUGAGUGAUGAAGGUCUUCGGAUCGUAAAACUCUGUUAUUAGGGAAGAACAAAUGUGUAAGUAACUAUGCACGUCUUGACGGUAACGAAUCAGAAAGCAACGGCUAACUACGUG